AAAAGGAAGGCAGCAACAUAACUUUAAUCGGCUAAACCUCUCACUUUGCUCACACUCACUCUCUUCAUCUUCGCGUUUCGUCCUCCAUCCCUCGCCGUCGUCCAUCCUUCACUGCCGUUUGCUGUUCGUCAUUCCUGAAACCACCGUUCUCUCACUCUUAGUCUCUCAUUCAGCUCGACACUCUCUCACUCUCUCACUCUCUGUUCUGCAUCGAAGAAUGUGGACUCGUGGAGCCUCUGCCAUCCGCCAUGCUGCCAUCGCUCGUCGUGUCUUCUGCCCCUCAUCGCGCUUCCGCCGUUCGUUCUGUCAGGUGUCAGCCCGUCGUGUGUCUGCACAGCACAGCAUAGCAACGCGAGUGUUAGCUAAGCCUACUCCAUUCAGCCAUUCAGAUUCAGCCUUCAGGGACAUGUGAAUGAUGAUGAUUUUGUUGGCUGGGUCGAACCUGAACUUGAAAGAAAUGAUGUUUCUGAUGAAGAUGGUGAAGAUGAUGAUGUUGAUGCCAUAAAAGAUGAAGAUAGGAUUUCAGUUUUAGACUUUUAGUUUAUUAGAACAUUUAAUUGUUACUUUGUUGUUUUCUUCUUUUUUUUUUUU